CCCACCGUUAAAACGGUGGGCUAUGUUCGUCAGCCCCUCCGGGGCA
rnacentral:sRNA from 1 species